GACGAACGCUGGCGGCGUGCCUAAUACAUGCAAGUUGAGCGCUGAAGGUUGGUACUUGUACCAACUGGAUGAGCAGCGAACGGGUGAGUAACGCGUGGGGAAUCUGCCUUUGAGCGGGGGACAACAUUUGGAAACGAAUGCUAAUACCGCAUAAAAACUUUAAACACAAGUUUUAAGUUUGAAAGAUGCAAUUGCAUCACUCAAAGAUGAUCCCGCGUUGUAUUAGCUAGUUGGUGAGGUAAAGGCUCACCAAGGCGAUGAUACAUAGCCGACCUGAGAGGGUGAUCGGCCGCAUUGGGACUGAGACACGGCCCAAACUCCUACGGGAGGCAGCAGUAGGGAAUCGUCGGCAAUGGACGAAAGUCUGACCGAGCAACGCCGCGUGAGUGAAGAAGGUUUUCGGAUCGUAAAACUCUGUUGGUAGAGAAGAACGUUGGUGAGAGUGGAAAGCUCAUCAAGUGACGGUAACUACCCAGAAAGGGACGGCUAACUACGUG
rnacentral:rRNA from 1 species